rnacentral:rRNA from 1 species
UACGUAGGGGGCAAGCGUUGUCCGGAAUCAUUGGGCGUAAAGAGCGUGUAGGCGGUCCGGUCAGUCGGUUGUGAAAGUCAAGGGCUCAACCCUUGAAUGCCGGCCGAUACUGCCGGGCUAGAGUCCGGAAGAGGCGAGUGGAACUCCUGGUGUAGCGGUGGAAUGCGCAGAUAUCAGGAAGAACACCAACGGCGAAGGCAGCUCGCUAGGACGGUACUGACGCUGAGACGCGAAAGCGUGGGGAGCGAACAGG